ACUCUAGUCAUGCUGAAAGGAGAAAUUAAAGUGUAUCUAAAACUCCUAAAGCGCCCUGCGAGCCCCAAACACGCUACCGGGGUGCCGCCUCGCCUCCUCCCUCAGACCGGGCUGAGCGCAACUUGCCCACGCAGGAGAAAAGACGGAGGUGCCCUCAGGAUUUUACCUCAGGUUCUCCUGUUUUAACUCACAGACCUGCUUCUCAUGCUUUAUAAUGACUGCUUAUACCUUUCCUUUUCGAGUCUUAACAUUGUCUGGUAGCGAAUAAUUAGCAAUGUGUAUGCGGGUCCCCCCUCUCGAGGUAAUGGAACAGUCCGCCGGGUUCCAGGCGCCGCGGCUCGUCGUUUAACCCCUUCCCUGCCGAUCCCAAAGAAUCUGCCCGGCGGAGGCGGAGUGGGAUCCGGCCUCGGGGUCUGAUGCGCUGGAGCACCGCGGGCUGCUCAGGGUAGUGAACACACUUCGUACAGGCGGUGUGAAGCGGGGGCAGCGGCCAUUCACCCGCAAAACGACCUUAAAUGCCAUCUGAUCAAGUCUUCCAAUAUGUCUUCUUCGUAGUGUUGUGGAAACGUGUGACAAUGUUUAAAUAGUAAUUGGUGAAAUGGGGGAGGGUGUUGUCUUUUUUGUUUGUUUGUUUGCUGGUUUGUUUGUUUCUAUGAUUUCCAGUGGAGAAUUGUGUAGACCACGUAUGGACGGCGCCUACCUGUCCGCCAGGUGAGCAUUCUCCCCAGCCCUGCAGACGGAGCAUCGUCCCCGGAGCAUCGUCCCCACGCUCAGCCCGGGGAGCGGCUGCUUUGCUGCGGUGGGCUCAGGCGUGUACGGAAAAUCACGCUAUGAAAAGCCAGCGUCCAUAAAGGAGACAGAGGAGUCCUGCAACUUUAUUCGCAUGUGGCAGAGAGUCCACCCGGGCACACGCCCGCCGGGUUUCUCUCUCGAGGUUUUAGAGGAUGCGGCCUUCUUUUAUCCUAAACUCCCGGCUGCGUGUUGCCUUCUUCCUUCUCCCACCAGCGGAGGUACUAGGAAAGUACAGCCUUCCCGGGCCACCUACCAAGUAUUCCCCCUUGAACCUGUCAUUUUACCCCAAAUUUUGGAAGUUGAGGCUUGCGCGGACCCUUGCCUGUUUCAGGAGCUGUCUGGGAUCUGUAACAAACCUUCCCCUAGAAGUCAGUAGACGUAUUAAAACUCAUUUCUAAGACGUUAACACCCAUUCCUUCACCCAUAGAAUUGUUUGUAAAGAUAUGAGCACUCAUCUUUCCUACCUGUCACCUCUCAGAAGCUUUUCAGCAAUAACUGGAGAAAUGGAGGUGUCCUGACCCUGAGUGCUGGGGUCCCAAUCUGCCUUUCCCAAUUUAAGCACUUAAAUAUCUAAGGCCUUCACUGGUAACCAGAAACAUAUGGAAAGACUUCUGACAGAAGAAAACUUUUUGCAUGAGUGCAGGAGAGCUUUUUCUAGAAACCUCCCAAGUGAUAUGAAUGGAUCUACAAAUUUGAGUUUCUUGUCUGCUUAAGCCAGGCAAGGUCUUUUUGUGUGGUGGUGCCCAGGAAGUUGUACUUGAACACGAGGAAGAACUUCUUUACUGUGCAGUGACCAAGCACUGGAACAGGUUACCCGGAGAGAUUGUGGAGUCUCCCCCACUGGAGAUAUCCAAGCCUGGAUAAAAUCCUAUGCCAUGUGCCCUGCUUGAGCAGGGAUGUUGGACUAGGUGACGCACUGUGGGCCCUUCCAACCUGACCCAUUCUGUAGUUCUGUGAAUGUAUUUAGGUAUGAAAAUAAGCAGUUAGGUCAGGAGAAAAAUUCUAAAUGCUGCAUUGAUCUGUGAAGAUAAGAAUGACACUAUUUAAUAGCUGAAGUCUACUGGAAGUACAUACCUCUGCCCCACUAAAAUUUUGAGAAUAGUUACCAUGUCCCUGAGGAGAAAAACUCUAAAUGCUACAUACAUCUGUGAAGAUAAGAAUGACACUAUUUAAUAGCUGAAAUCUAUUGGAAGUACAUACACUAUGAUACCUCUGCCCCAGUAAAAUUUCGAGAAUAGUUACCAUGUCCCUCUAAUGUCACUGAAAAUAUUAAUAUAGCUUUUAGAUAUUAGCCCCACUGGAUGUAAAGCUUGUCUGGGAAUCAAAUUUUCCCUUACUAUUUCCCUUACUAUUGCAUCAGAGUUACUGCUUUAAUGUUACAAGAAAGGAUAAGUGUGAGAAAUCUUUCUCUGUUCUUUGAAUGCUUACCCCAUAGACAUGAUUUUUCCAGUAGUUCCUUCUUGUACUUGUUUCAGGAGUUGAGUAAAUUGUGCCCAGUUGUUUUAUUUCCCUAAAAUAAUUAGGCCGAUUUGGUGGCUCAUUAAUUUUCAAUAAACCCAUUAUUUGUGAUGAAUCUUUACUCCAAAUGUCAGUUAGGGAACAGUUUCUAGUUUUUCACCUCCAAACGUGACAUUUAUGACGCUCAAAAAAAAAAAAAAUGCUGAAUGUUUUGGUCCAAGGAGGCAAAAGGUUAAAAAAGGUGAGGUAUCUAGAGCUCCAAGGUUGUUAUUUGGACACACUUAGGUGUAAAUUCCAGCCUCCUGUCUGGAAGUUAGUUGCUCUCUGGGCACAAAGAUUUAGAUAAAGCAGGUAGUGUGCAAUCCAUCAGUUGAGGUUCGGUCAGGAACUCACGCUCACGGAGUUCGGGAGCUGUGGAAUCGGCAGCAAGGGCUCCUCUCCACUAGAUGGGGAUGCAGGAGCAGCUCUGGCUUCCCUGUUUCUGCAGCAGCAGCUUCGCCUCCUGCCAUUCACAUUCCCACUCGUGAAUAGUCCCGUGAAAGUACUUUUAAACCAGCUUCUUCCUUCUUUUGUAAAAAGUGAAGACUCUGGUAAGAUUUUAAAGAAGGUUGAACUUUACAAAGAGAGAGGAACUGUUCGAGUCCCUCAGUGAAUGUGCACAAUUUAUUAGGACACUUCGGAGGAAUGGGUGUUUCAGAAAUUUUACAUUCUAAAUGGCAUGAGUUAGACAGGCUUUUUUCUAACUCCAAAAGAAUGCUUUAAUUCAGCACAUAGCAAUCUAUCAAUCCAUGCACCAUGAAUGAUUCUGUGGAAGAUCUUAGUUAUAUCAGAGGCAUAUCUGUGGAACUGUUUUGGAUUUGUACAGACAGCAGCAAAAGUUGAAGCUGUGAAUAUAUUUGGAAACACAGGUAGGUAGUUGUAUCAAAAAUACAUGAUAUAAACUUUAGGCACCUGGGUGGUAAAGGUGUGGGAAAAUAAUGGUGGGCAUGACAUGUAACUAACAGCAAUUUAAAGCCUCACACUUCUUUCUCACCUGUGAAACUUCGAGUUUUUUUAAAUAAACAGGUAAAAAUCUUCCUCAAAUGAGCAAUUUUAUAAGUUGGACUGGUUGCAAAGCAAUUCCUCCACAGUUCUUGCUCCCCAGUGGUUUCCAUGCUUCUUUCUCUUGUUCUCUGCAUGUUAUCUCAGUGCUUACUCUCCAGGCCUGAUUCUUCAAAAAAUAUGUGGAUUAUCUGAGAUGCAGACUGCAAUCAUGAAAAUAUAGCAAAUGGGAAAUAGAAACACUGAAUAAUAAUGUUAAUUUGGAAAGCCUUUUUUGUUAAUUAUUUGUGAGGGGCUAAGAAAAUUGCUCAGAGAGGUUUAGCAAAUAAAGAACUCCCUACACCAAAAAAUUUAAAUUGGCCUUUGGCACAUUUUUUUUAAUGCUCUCCCUAGUUCUCACUGUAAUUUCUGCUUCUCAUUCAGUUUCUAUCUUUAUUUUCAUUACUUACCAUAGUGUUGCGUUUGAGAAAGAAUAAUUCAAAAGACAUCUAGACAGACCCAUGAAGACCAGAAAGAAAUAAUGUUCCAGAGUUUUGUUUCUGAAGUAAAGGAUUUUUGGAACCACAGUCUUAGACACCAGAUUUCUAAAUAUAAAACAAAUAGAUUUAGCAAAGGAAAAAGCAAACAAAAAAUGGAACAUGAACUGUAGAGCAAGUAGGUUAAAGAAAUAGUAAAGUAGCAGCAUUAAAAAAGUAGUUAGUAUAGAAAGUUGUUAGUGUUGAGCAGAUAAGUGAUUUUUACAUAUUUUUAUUAUGUUUGUCACCUUCUGCCAAAUUCAUUUG